AUGCCCUCCAGUCUCCCAAGCGCUGGGACAACAGGUGCACACCUCCAUGCCCUGAUACAUUUUGGAUCUCAUUUGAAGGUUGCCACAGUCACACUAAGCCCACCUCCACCCCUCCCCACCCCCGGCCUGUCCUCUGUUUUCUGUCUGUUGUAUGGGACUAUGCUCGUGGGGAGUUCAGCUGUUGCCCUUUGCAGAAGGAUCGUCCCAGCCGAGCCUGUGUAUUGCCCAUGGAGGGGUGGGGUCAGGAGACCCUCACCUGGGUAUCCAACUGUCUCGAUUGCUCGUGCCCUGGGGGCGGGAACUAGAGUAUAUAGGCCAGGAAAAGCUGUGAGGCGGGGCAUCCGUUUUGCAUCUGGCUAUGGAGAAGAAGCCUUCGUCAUCACAGGAUCACGUGGAAGGCCUGGGAGCAGUGACUGGAACUGAUUGAGAGAACUGAGGAAGACUGUUGCCCUCCUUCCAACCUGGAGGAUGAAUCUGAGGAAGCUCUGAUCCCGAGGGUCGUGCCAACAGUCCCUGGGAGUCUCUGGAUGUCAUGUGUGAUGGGGACCUUUCCUCCCUCAGAAACUACAUGCUGGCCAAGGAAACCAGGUUGCCCCCAGGGCGCUGUGUGGCUGGGUUCUAAUAGCCCGGUGUGUAAAUUGAUCAAUGUCGAAAAUCCUCUUUGACCUAGUCAGUGAUUGCUUCCAGAGGCAGAACGCAAGAGCUGCCCUAGCUGGAUGCCUCUCUGAUGCUCUGAGUAUUUCUCAGUGGCACAGAGCUCUGGGCAGGACCCUGAAUAGGCGGUGGGCCCUCCUCUGCAACAUGUGAAGGCUUAUCUUAUCCAUGGGAAACACAUGCAAGGAUCCUCAAGUGUAAAUGAAAAUACCUGAAAAGAAGCUGUGUCUGGCUGUCAACACAAGGCUCCUGGAAAGAAUAUCAUCCUUUUUUCUUUUAAUAAAAAAAUUGUAUUUACUUAGAAACAUUCAGAAUGUCAACAAAACAGCUGCAAUUUUUUUUUGCAAUUACAGAGUGGGAUUCAGUUAACAAGACAAUGAUCUUUGUAUAAGUUGCAUCAGAGACAACUGAAGAUGAAAAAAAAAAAACCAAAAAACAAAAAGCUGCUGUCCCCAAAUAUGACUAACCAACAAGAACCUGCUUUAAAUUUUCAUGCCAAUUUACAACCCCCAGACUGUGCCAGGCAAGGUUGGUGGCUACUGAAAAUACCACCAGGACAGGGCUACCUAAAGACAUAUUCAGUAGUGUGUUAACUAUACAAAAAAAGACACUGUACAGUUUAAAAACAAAUCUUACACAGCCUUAUAUUUCAAUUUUUUUCUUUAAAAAGGAGUGAGUUGUGUACAGGGGGGUUAAAUGCUCUAUAGACAAAAAAAGUUUCGCUAAAACCAACUUUUCGUACUUCUUCAGCUUGGCAGCCAUCUUUUCACAGGGCUGCUUGUCCUCUGCAGCAGUGUCGUUCAGCGUUCUCCCAGUUUCUUUGCGACAUCACCAAUGGACAAGCCAGGGCAUUCGCCUUUGAUUUUUUGGGCGGCACUCAGAGCAGAACAAGAAGGCUGACGGAGGCCUCUUGGGUGCAUUGGGGUCCUUGAACUUCUUUUGGUCUCCCCUUUGGGGGGGGAUGUAGGUUUUCUUUUGGGGGGUGGGGUUUUAAGUCGGGGUUUCUCUGUGGCUUUGGAGGCUGUCCUGGAACUCGAUCUGUAGACCAAGCUGGUCUCGAACUCACAGAGAUCCGCCUGCCUCUGCCUCCCGAGUGCUGGGACUAAAGGCGUGCGGCAACACCACUCAGCUGGGACGUAGGUUUUCAUUUCUGUUUCAUAAUGGGCCUUGUCAGCCUUUGCCAUGUCUUCAAACUUCCCCUUUUCUUUAGCAGACAUGGUUUUCCACCUUUCUGAGCACUUCUUCGAGAACUCUGAGAAGUUGACAGAAGCAUCCGGGUGCUGCUUCUUGUGUUCCUCCUGGCAGGUUUGCACAAAGAACGCAUGUGAGGAUUUUUGCCUCUCAGCUUCUUAGGAUCUCCUUUGCCCAUGUUUAGUUGAUUUUUGUGGCAGGCACAGAGUCGCCCAUCGCCCGUCCUGCUCGCCCUUGCCCAGGCGCUGUCUCUAUGGAGCUCAAUGUACCACAAUGGCUGUGAGAGCAGGAGCCAGACUGGAAGGAAUUGCUGUGUCUGCAGAGACUGGUGGACCAAUUGGAAUUUCAGUACUGUAGAGAGGUCGAAUUUUGUAGGUUCAGAAUCUAAUUACUUUAUUUGGGCUAGUUUUAGCCUCCUGGAACAGCCAUACCUUGUCCACUCUUUAACACCUGGCGAUAACAAAUAAAAACUUCUUAGAAGCUAUUGACACAGCUGAUCAUCGGCUUCAGCAAUCCAAGAGCGCUCCCUGUCUCCAUGUAUCUGCCUCUUUGGUGAACCCAUCAACAUAUUUUAAACUUGUCUUGAUUUAUGACUUUCUUUGUGAAUGAAAAAAAAAGGGGGGAAAGAAAUUAAAAAGACACGACUCUACUUAGGUAAGGUGGAGGAGAAAGUGUGUUGCAGAUAAAAGGGAGAGCAUAGCCAGAGGCACAUAUCUGGGGGAACUCAGAGUGGACAUGACCCUGACCCAAGCCUUGUGAGGAGAGGGAAGGAGCCAGGAGAGAAAAGGGUGGACAAGAAGGCCAGGUAACCAAAUGGCUGGGUUAGAGAAGAGCCUCUGGGGGAAGGGUGGCCCAGCCCCUGGGAUGGAGAUUUCUGGGUAGAGGGUGAGGGUGUGCUAGCCAUACCCUGUAACAGGUAGGGACUGAGGGAUGCUGGGAGAACCUGGCAGCCAGGUCUGCUUUGAUAUGUUUAAAUAAGCCUCAGUCAUUUGUCCCAGGUUUGAGACCUAGCACUGUUCUGUAAAACUAUAAAAAACGCCAUAACAUGGAAUUUGGGGUGACAAAAAUAUGUGUUUCUGGGCAAUGACCACGAAUAAUGGCUCCAGAAUAAACUCUCUUUUCUUGUCGAUGCAAGAGAUGCCUGAAACCCAGACAGUAACAGUUCAGUCUGUAUGAUGGUGCAUGUUUGCCUGUCUCAGGCAUGUCUACCUAUGAUAACUAAUUGUGUGUGUGUGUGUGUUGAGUAUAGGUGUUUGGGGGAGGCCAGAGGUGUUGGGUCACUUAAAACUGGAGUUACAGGGUUAUGGGCUGCUCAUUGUGGGUGCUGGGAACCAAACUCGGGUCCUCUGCGAGAGCAGCAUGUGCUUCUAACUGCUGAACAAUCUCUCCAGCCCCCAAGUUUUUUGUUUGUUAAAGAAAGGCUUUCAUGUUGCCCUGGCUGGCCUUGAACUCCUCAUCCUUCUGUCUCAAUCUCUCAAGUUUUGGGGUUACAGGAAUGUGUCAUCAUGCCUAUCUUAAUUGAUGAGUUAGCUACCGCAAGAGAUUAACAACAGCUGAUGACAGAACAGUUAGAACGCUGUGCAGUAUAGGGAGACUUCAGAACUAUGGAUUGUUUGUUUCUGGAAUUUUCCACUUAGUACUUUCUAUCCCGGGCUGACCCAGAGUAUUUGAAAACGCGGAGAUAUGGGGCAGCUAAUGUCCAGAGGGCGAGCAAGGCCUGGCUCCCUUGGCAGGGCACGGCCUCUUGGUGUGGGCAGUCUUCUCAAAGUUACUUUAGACAACCCGCAUGGCCAGGCUGUCUCCUGCGCCCGCCUGUUCAGUUUGUUCCAGAGGCCGGUUCUUCCUGGAACUGGGUGUCAGUUCAGGACAGAGAAUGCUGGGAGUGAAACUUGGCCCCAAAGGGAAGAAAAGCUUUCCAAUUGUGCAUGAGAUCGCAGAUUGCUGAGCUGCGUUGGGCGGGGCUUGCAGUUCCUGCGGAAUGCCACCAGGAGACGCGCUUUCCACGCCUCACACCGAGAGGUCACGCUCGCUCCUACGUGUGUAUGUUGCAAAUGGCUUUUCUAGGAUUACAGUAUAAAGUCGUGAUUCAGCUUUUCCAAAUGAUGUAUUCAACUCGAGUUACAAGCGGCUCUAGUUAUGUAACGUGACCACCCUUGACAAUGGGCUGGGGGAAAGGAGUGGUAACUAGCUCUCACUCUUCAAACGACCUUGGGUCUUCGCAUUUGCUGUCAGGGUCACAGGAGGCCCAGCAGAGGGAGAAGAGGUGUGUGGAAGCUGAAUCAUAAGCUCCAGCUUCUGGAUGAACUCUGCCACUCUCCAGAAGGUACCAUCAGUGGCAUUAAUUAAGAGCUCCAGGGCCAGCAGGGAACUGGGGACACACGACUUUAAUCCAAGCAUUUGGAUUAAAGGAGGCAGAGGCAGGCGCGAUCCUUUGAGAUCGAGGCCACCCUGGUGUACAGACUGAGUUCCAGGACAGGCUCCAAAGCUACACAAAGAAACCCUGUCUGGAAACCAAAGCAAAGCAAAAGGUUCAGGGCCAUUGGCAAAUUCUCCUUGCUCCUGUCAGUUGUUAUAGACUAGUGUUGUUUGACUUUCUUUUGGGGCCUUCAACUCACACAUAAGGACACGGAGACUUCUUAUUAAUUAUGAAAACUUGGCAUUGUCCCCAACUAGCUCUUAUAAGUUAAAUUCAUCUGCUUAUAUUAAUUUACGUUCUGCCACAUGUAUUUUUUUUUAUCUCUCCUCCAUUCUGUAAGUCCGACUUGGUCCGCAUCUGGCUGGCAUCUCUUUGUGCUUAGAUUCAUCUCCUUUUUCUCUCUAUUCUCUCCUGCUUAGCUAUUGACAAUUCAACUCUUUAUUAA
rnacentral:lncRNA from 1 species